rnacentral:rRNA from 1 species
CCCUUAGAGUUUGAUCCUGGCUCAGAACGAACGCUGGCGGCGUGGAUAAGACAUGCAAGUCGAGCGCGAAUUCUGGUGUAGCAAUACAUCAGAGUUUGAGCGGCGCAAGGGUGCGUAACACGUGGGUAAUUUGCCGUGAAGUUGGGGAUAACUCGCUGAAAGGCGAGCUGAUACCGAAUGUGGUUACUGGAUGGCAUCAUCUGGAAACUAAAGCUGGGGAUCGUAAGACCUGGCGCUUCAUGAUAAGCCCGCGGCCUAUCAGCUAGUUGGUGCGGUAACGGCGCACCAAGGCUAAGACGGGUAGCUGGUCUGAGAAGACGACCAGCCACACUGGAACUGAGACACGGUCCAGACACCUACGGGUGGCAGCAGUCGAGAAUUUUUCUCAAUGGGCGCAAGCCUGAAGGAGCGACGCCGCGUGUGGGAUGAAGGGUUUCGAUCCGUAAACCACUGUCAUUUGUGAACAAUGGUUAUCCAUGAAUAGUGGAUGACUUGAUAGUAAUGAAAGAGGAAGGGACGGCUAACUCUGUGCCAGCAGCCGCGGUAAUACAGAGGUCCCGAGCGUUGUUCGGAUUCACUGGGCGUAAAGGGUGCGUAGGUGGCAUGGUAAGUUUGAUGUGAAAGCUCAGGCUCAACCCUGAAAUGGCAUUGAAUACUACUGUGCUGGAGGUUUGGAGGGGGGACUGGAAUUCUUGGUGUAGCAGUGAAAUGCGUAGAUAUCA